GGUAGCCUAGUGAUUAGAGUGUAGGGGUGGCAGGGUAGCCUAGUGGUUAGAGUGUAGGGGUGGCAGGGUAGCCUAGUGAUUAGAGUGUAGAGGUGGCAGGGUAGCCUAGUGGUUAGAGUGUAGAGGUGGCAGGGUAGCCUAGUGGUUAGAGUGUAGAGGCGGCAGGGUAGCCUAGUGGUUAGAGUGUAGAGGCGGCAGGGUAGCCUAGUGGUUAGAGUGUAGAGGUGGCAGGGUAGCCUAGUGGUUAGAGUGUAGGGGUGGCAGGGUAGCCUAGUGGUUAGAGUGUAGAGGUGGCAGGUAGUCUAGCGGUUAGAGUGUAGAAGCGGCAGGGGAGCCUAGUGGUUAGAGUGUAGGGGUGGCAGGGUAGCCUAGUGAUUAGAGUGUAGAGGUGGCAGGGUAGCCUAGUGGUUAGAGUGUAGAGGUGGCAGGGUAGCCUAGUGGUUAGAGUGUAGAGGCGGCAGGGUAGCCUAGUGGUUAGAGUGUAGAGGUGGCAGGGUAGCCUAGUGGUUAGAGUGUAGAAGUGGCAGGGUAGCCUAGUGGUUAGAGUGUAGAAGUGGCAGGGUAGCCUAGUGGUUAGAGUGUAGAAGUGGCAGGGUAGCCUAGUGGUUAGAGUGUAGAAGUGGCAGGGUAGCCUAGUGGUUAGAGUGUAGAGGCGGCAGGGUAGCCUAGUGGUUAGAGUGUAGAAGUGGCAGGGUAGCCUAGUGGUUAGAGUGUAGAGGUGGCAGGGUAGCCUAGUGGUUAGAGUGUAGAGGUGGCAGGGUAGCCUAGUGGUUAGAGUGUAGAGGUGGCAGGGUAGCCUAGUGGUUAGAGUGUAGAAGUGGCAGGGUAGCCUAGUGGUUAGAGUGUAGAAGUGGCAGGGUAGCCUAGUGGUUAGAGUGUAGAAGUGGCAGGGUAGCCUAGUGGUUAGAGUGUAGAAGUGGCAGGGUAGCCUAGUGGUUAGAGUGUAGAAGUGGCAGGGUAGCCUAGUGGUUAGAGUGUAGUAUUGGCAGGGUAGCCUAGUGGUUAGAGUGUAGAAGCGGCAGGGUAGCCUAGUGGUUAGAGUGUAGAAGCGGCAGGGUAGCCUAGUGGUUAGAGUGUAGAAGUGGCAGGGUAACCUAGUGGUUAGAGCGUUGGACUAGUAACCUGAAGGUUGCAAGUUCAGAUCCCAGAGCUGACAAGGUAGAAAUCUGUCGUUCUGCCCCUGAACAGGCAGUUAACCCACUGUUACUAGGCCGUCAUUGAAAAUAAGAAUUUGUUCUUUAACUGACUUGCCAAGUUAAAUAAAGGUUUAAAAAACAAAAAUGUUCUGGUACAGAUGCUGUUGU